AUGCCCUAUGUUUUAACAUGGUCUCAAGCAUGUCACAUAGUAGCACGAUGCAUGAUAUUUUAUUAUGGGUAAGAACUGAUGGAGGGACCUUUGAACAUGGCAGUCAAUUCUAAGACCAGUUUUUCUUUUCAAUUUUCUGUGACGAUAUUAUAGGCCAGUUUGUUGUUCAUCGAGUCAUUCAUGGAAACGGUCUUAGUAUUUGUGGAGUAGUUAAAGAAGCUAAUUUAAGAAAUUAUCUUACAACAUUUGGAUUUUGGGGAAAAAUAUCUGGAACAGUAUGGAGGGAUGCAAAUUGGUGACCCUUAGGUGCACCUCCAACCCUCUUUAGUUCAAAUAUUUGUGCUACUUCUCCAAAAUAGGACCCCGUUUUAGAAAUGUAGUACAAAUAUUUGAACUAAAGAGGAUUGGAGGUGCACCUAAGGGUCACCAAUUUGCACCCCUAGAGCUCUGUAUAUGUAUAGUGGGGCGUAGACAACAUAUGGUGUGAUGCAAUAUAAGUUGUAGAGCAUUGCAUAUAACUGUGGGAUGAUAUUCUUAAAUACCAAUGGAUCUUCAACCUUGACCAUUUCCAUAAGAAAAUAAUUUUAAAGUUACCUCUUAUUUCGAGUCAGCUGCCAUGGUGAAAUUGGUAGACACCCUGCUCGUAGAAAGCAGUGCUCAUGCGUCUCGGUUCGAGUCCGAGUGGCAGCAUUCUCGAAAGAAGUUUAAAAUAGGUUAGACAAGUACACAUGGUGGGUAACUUACUUUAGGAAAACGUGUUUUCGUAGCUUAUAUGCUCUGGGAGGGUUCAAUUUUGAAGAUGCAUUUUGGCCCAUCUUUCUCUUGGUGCUGGCAGUAACCAGCCUAAUCAAUGCCUGGUGCGCAAUAACUGGCUAUCAACAUGAACUGGCUAGAGAUUUUUUACUCAUGGCAUGUUAGAACUGUAGCAUUCUACUUAAGAAGGUCGAUAGAAUAGAUAAGGUUGUGAGGUCAGGGGGAGUUUGUUUGAACUUUGAAAUGGUGAGCUGAUUUGGGGAGUUUUCAUUGGCACUUAACUGCAAAUUUGGUAGGGUUUGAAUUGGCUUUUACUGAUGGUGAAUUUACCAGUUAGUGAAGUUAUGCAUGUAGAACCUCCCACUCUUGAAAUUUAUCGUUAUUCAGUUGCAAAUGCUACGAAGUUAUAUUUGCUAAACGCAAUUGCUCCCACCUAUUAUUUUUCUAAUGUUCUUUUUUUGCUCAAGGCACUAUUGGGGAUAGUAGCAGCACCUUGCUUCAUUGGUUCUGUUGCUAUACCUUAGAUACAGUCAUUGAACCUCUUACUGCUGCCUCCAGUGUCUACCUUCUGCUUCUUUGGUUUGGAUUACCUGAAUAUUUUUAUUCCCAUCGAUCAAUAUUAUAGUACCUCUUGGAGCUCCAUGGCACAACCUACCAUGUUCAGUUCUGAUAGUGGCACCUUUUCACUGUUUCCAAUGACUAGCGUGGAAUAUGCCAUCUGCAUGUAUCCUUUGCAAAAUUUUCCAGUUCCAUUGAGGGCACUGUAUUUCACCAGUGUUGCAUGGAUACGUGCGUCCAAAAUUUGAUGUAUCGACGUGUAUCAGAUAUAUAUGGUGAUACACACCAGACUCUUACUGGAUAGGUAAGAAUAGAGGCAGAUGUUUUCAUGAGGAAGAAGGGAAAAGUGACUCGCAUAUUGGAAGAUUGUGUAGAAAAGGGUAAGAGGGGAACAGUGCAGCCUUUUCUUUGCUCUGCUAUAUAUACUCCCUCCGUUUCAUUGUUUGUCCAUAGCACACUAUGUGCAAGAACCAAUCAAUGUGAAAUGCCUAUAUGGGUCAUGAUGUCAUCAAGGGGGCCGCCACCUCUUUGACUUUAUAUGCUUGUUAGUUUGUGAAAAAAAAUGUGCUGUGCUUCUAGCUUGAUUAGUAACAGUCCUUGGUAGGUCCUUGGUGUAAUAUCUUGUUCCUAGACUUGUGAUGCAGCUCAUCUAUUUUGUUCACACCAUUCGGCACAAGCCAUGAUUGCCUUGCCAUUUUUUAUCCUGCUUUGUACUUUUUGUUGAUUAGUUAGUCUCAUCUUUUUCGUACCUAGCCCUUGAUUCUCCACUCCUUCACUUCUCUGCCUUUUACCUCCUGUGGAGGCCCUAUUGCUACCACUAUUUUCAAUUCUUGAGGAGUCUCUUUUUCUCAAAAGCGGUCCCUCUAAGCUCUUCAAUUGAGAGUCAUCUUAUCGUGAUGCUACAUCUGUAGCACUUUGAACAAUUUAUUACUACUUUUGUCACCUUGAACAGUUGAUCGCUACUUUUGUUGUUUGUGCUCUAGAUGGAGGGUAGAGGGGGAUCUUCCCCGUUCCCCUUCUGCAAAUGUCUCCCAUCAUGUACAAGUAGGUGGACAUGUUUUGAUGGCACUGUUGGGGCUUUCAAGGCUUGUUCUCAUGUUUUUUAGUGAGUAUGGCCCUGUCAUUGCCUUUGCUCAAUAGUAGCCUCUUUGCUGUUGCAACAAGAACCACCAAACCUUUUUGUUUAAAGCAAGAUAUGUGUGAAAUGUGUGUAUAUGCAAUCACUUGCGGCGAGCUCCCUGGAACCGGGAUGCAUUAUUACCCAAAGGAAGGAUAGAUAAGAAAGUGAUGAUGAUACGUGGCCUGUGGGCCUUACUUAGAGGAAGAGAUGGUAAUGGUAAUGACCUGUGGGACCAGUGCCAUGUUGGACACACAAUGGACCACAUUAGAGAAACUUGGCCUCUAAAGCCGCACUAGAAAGCUGGUAGCAUCUGCACGAAUAACAUUUCCAUCACUAGCAUUACAUUAUAGCAUCCACUUAAAUUUCGAAUGUGUAAUACUGUCUUCAAUAUAAAAGCAGGUAUUCUGGCCCCUAAAGUAAUCAAUAUUGUCUAAAUCACCACCUAAAGUGGAUUAGGAAAUUGUUUCAUUGUUGGGGCAGGUUAUGUGGAUGAUGACAAUUGACAUGGCAUUAAUUGCACACUCCAUGCUUCUUUCUCGUACUUCCUUUUUUUCCUCUUGUUCUCUCCAUGCCAUUUUCCCCUUCCUCUUCCUCUUCCUCUUCCAGCCCCACCUGUACUACUGCAGUGCUGCUGCCAUUGUAUAUCAGCAAGGUCGUCAGGAGCUCAUGGAUCCCCUGCAUACCUCCGUGACCGCGCGUGCUGCUCACGAUCAUGUAGAAGAUUGACAUUCAAUGUAGCUAGAAAAUUUAAUACAUGAUCAUAAUUGUCCAGAUAUGACAAUAUUGCCUGUUUGGUCAACUUGUGUGUGCCGCAUUCCCCAGGCAUGCCGCUUCUUGUGUCAGUUGUUUGCAGACUCAUUGCUGUCCGAAGUGCCCCUUUGCGCGCACCUUGCAAAAGCCUUCAUGCUUGUUGUUCACCACACCGCCAGAUCUGGAGCUUGGCCUGCUCGCUCGCCUGCCUGUGUGUGAAUAUGGUGCUCGAAACACACCGGCAUCCACCUACUGCCACAGGGGUCCACAUGCUGUUGUUGCAUGAAGGAGAAGUGAGAAGAAACAGAUGGCAGGUGGGUCGGAGUGGAAGAGAGGAGAGAAAAGGAAAAGAAAGAAGCAAGAUAUGUGGGGUCAAUGCCAUUGUCAUUGUCGACAUAAUGCGCCAUGCCACAAACCACCAUAGAGUUAGAGCACGAAUGCAUGGUUUUGUAUUUGAGGGAGUUAACUAGACAAGCCUCAGUACGCCAGGGGAUGCAUAGCAGCACUUAAGACAUCUCAUUUAUAUUUGGUUUAGUCUUAUCAAGUAUACACCUAUUGAUUUUAAGGUCUUUGUCCAUUCUAAUCUUGUCUGCUAGCUUUGCGACAACAGUAAAGAGCAUACACCAAGUGACAAUUAAAUUUUGAAACUUCCGAUUCAAUGGUCUCUUUCUUAGCUGGGCAUGAAGAAUUUCUUUGGUAGUUGUGAGCCAUGAAGGUGAACAUCACAUGCUGAGGGAUGAUGGUGGCCUCCUGGUUAUAUUUUCCAGAGGGCAGGUUUGCUUGAGCGUUACCAAAGUGGUGCAUCUCAUAAGUGUCUGGAAGCUCCAUAACAUUAGGGUUGCUAAACUGAUGUGUAGCUGCAUUUGCACAAAUUUGUGAUUUGAAAUAAGAGAUGGCGAAUUGGCAAUGGCUUGAUCGGGGUGGGGCCAAUGGGGUUAAGGGUAGCCUAGCAUGAACAUUUGUUUUGAGCGCAACUGAUUGUUGAUGGAGGUAGCAAGGAAUGGUUGCCUUUUUUUCGUCUCUCUCCACCCUUCCCACUUCCUGUUCAUGGAAAUAGUCUUCCACCAUUUUCCUCCUUCACUAUACCCUGGACGCUGGCAAACUUGAAUUCCAAUCUUUCAAAUUGAUUUAAAAAAAAACUUUAUAAUUAUGGUCAACAUCACUCAUGUACCAUAAAAUAUUAGCUGACCUUAUAAGGUGGAUGCUUUUUUACUGUUAGUUUGCAUGUAGAUCAGGAUGUUUUUACCCUUCUGCAUGCCUUCAGAACAGUUCCAGUUAGUUGACAUCUUGGAA